UCCUUUUUCAACACCUCGGCUGAACUGCUUCUUCUCUAGUGCAUUGCUUCCCUUCAUAUGCGCUUUAUCUCAAUUUUCUAUCCAUAUUAGUUACAUUUUGUUAGGAAUACGAUUUAUUGGUAUUGCAUUGUGUCUUGGGAAUUUCUGAAGUGAAGUAUCCAUUUGGGCGAAUCAACUUCAGAAUGUCACUGCUCAUCUAAAGAUUAUUCAGUCAGGGAACUUGCUAAUGUUUUUCUCACUUCUACAUUGAGGAAUAUCAAGACAGUACAUGGUCUUCAAUGAAUGCAUCUCUUUUACUUGCUAUGAUGUGCACGUUUCUAAGAGUACUAGAUAUGGUGUAAUUUCAAACCCGCUAUCAGGUAUGUUUAGAGAUGACAUUCAUAUUGGAUUUAAAGAUUGAUAUGCUGUUAUGAUGGCAUUGAGUGCAUGUGAUAUGUAGAGUGAGCCUGCUUCAUUCGGUGGAUGUGAGAAUAUGAUUAGGUGACAACAAUACAAAUCACCAAGCAAAUAUUUAGCACAUCUGCAUAUUUACUUAUUAUGGACAGCUGUAGAAUGUAUAAUGUUUAAAUUAUCAAAUGUGUUUU